CAAACAACAUUUCGUUUUCAGGUAGGGAACAUAGAAAACAUGACUACAUUUAAGGGUAUUGCUUCCGAACCGAUAGGAAAAUAUGCCUUCAAAAUUGACAACUAUGAUGGACUAACAGGGAUUCUGGAAAAUUUUCAAAAAAAGAUCUUUACAAUGGAAGGCUCCGAAGUGGCUCGGGCAGGAGAAAUGACUAAUGAAAUGUCUCAGAGUGGAUUCAGUGCUGUCUUCU